CCUACGGGGGGCAGCAGUGAGGAAUAUUGGUCAAUGGACGAGAGUCUGAACCAGCCAAGUAGCGUGAAGGAUGACUGCCCUAUGGGUUGUAAACUUCUUUUAUAUGGGAAUAAAGUUUUCCACGUGUGGAAUUUUGUAUGUACCAUAUGAAUAAGGAUCGGCUAACUCCGUGCCAGCAGCCGCGGUAAUACGGAGGAUCCGAGCGUUAUCCGGAUUUAUUGGGUUUAAAGGGUGCGUAGGCGGAAUAUCAAGUCAGCGGUAAAAAUUCGGGGCUCAACCCCGUCGUGCCGUUGAAACUGAUGUUC
rnacentral:rRNA from 1 species